rnacentral:rRNA from 1 species
AUGUCCGAAGCGGACAGAUGGGAGCUUGCUCCCUGAUGUUAGCGGCGGACGGGUGAGUAACACGUGGGUAACCUGCCUGUAAGACUGGGAUAACUCCGGGAAACCGGGGCUAAUACCGGAUGCUUGUUUGAACCCCAUGGUUCAAACAUAAAAGGGGGCUUCGGCUACCACUUACAGAUGGACCCGCGGCGCAUUAGCUAGUUGGUGAGGUAAUGGCUCACCAAGGCAACGAUGCGUAGCCGACCUGAGAAGGUGAUCGGCCACACUGGGACUGAGACACGGCCCAGACUCCUACGGGAGGCAGCAGUAGGGAAUCUUCCGCAAUGGACGAAAGUCUGACGGAGCAACGCCGCGUGAGUGAUGAAGGUUUUCGGAUCGUAAAGCUCUGUUGUUAGGGAAGAACAAGUACCGUUCGAAUAGGGCGGCACCUUGACGGUACCUAACCAGAAAGCCACGGCUAACUACGUGCCAGCAGCCGCGGUAAUACGUAGGUGGCAAGCGUUGUCCGGAAUUAUUGGGCGUAAAGGGCUCGCAGGCGGUUCCUUAAGUCUGAUGUGAAAGCCCCCGGCUCAACCGGGGAGGGUCAUUGGAAACUGGGGAACUUGAGUGCAGAAGAGGAGAGUGGAAUUCCACGUGUAGCGGUGAAAUGCGUAGAGAUGUGGAGGAACACCAGUGGCGAAGGCGACUCUCUGGUCUGUAACUGACGCUGAGGAGCGAAAGCGUGGGGAGCGAACAGGAUUAGAUACCCUGGUAGUCCACGCCGUAAACGAUGAGUGCUAAGUGUUAGGGGGUUUCCGCCCCUUAGUGCUGCAGCUAACGCAUUAAGCACUCCGCCUGGGGAGUACGGUCGCAAGACUGAAACUCAAAGGAAUUGACGGGGGCCCGCACAAGCGGUGGAGCAUGUGGUUUAAUUCGAAGCAACGCGAAGAACCUUACCAGGUCUUGACAUCCUCUGACAAUCCUAGAGAUAGGACGUCCCCUUCGGGGGCAGAGUGACAGGUGGUGCAUGGUUGUCGUCAGCUCGUGUCGUGAGAUGUUGGGUUAAGUCCCGCAACGAGCGCAACCCUUGAUCUUAGUUGCCAGCAUUCAGUUGGGCACUCUAAGGUGACUGCCGGUGACAAACCGGAGGAAGGUGGGGAUGACGUCAAAUCAUCAUGCCCCUUAUGACCUGGGCUACACACGUGCUACAAUGGACAGAACAAAGGGCAGCGAAACCGCGAGGUUAAGCCAAUCCCACAAAUCUGUUCCCAGUUCGGAUCGAAGUCUGCAACUCGAAUGCGGGAAGCUGGAAUCCCUAGUAACCGCGGAAAAGCAUGCCCCGGGGAAUACGUUCCCGGGCCUUGUACACACCGCCCGUCACACCACGAGAGUUUGUAACACCCGAAGUCGGUGAGGUAACCUUUAUGGAGCCAGCCGCCGAAGGUGGGACAGAUGAUUGGGGGGAAGUCGUAACAG